rnacentral:rRNA from 1 species
CAAUCAAACCGGGAGAUAGCUGGUUCUCCCCGAAAGCUAUUUAGGUAGCGCCUCGUGAAUUCAUCUCCGGGGGUAGAGCACUGUUUCGGCUAGGGGGCCAUCCCGGCUUACCAACCCGAUGCAAACUGCGAAUACCGGAGAAUGUUAUCACGGGAGACACACGGCGGGUGCUAACGUCCGUCGUGAAGAGGGAAACAACCCAGACCGCCAGCUAAGGUCCCAAAGUCAUGGUUAAGUGGGAAACGAUGUGGGAAGGCCCAGACAGCCAGGAUGUUGGCUUAGAAGCAGCCAUCAUUUAAAGAAAGCGUAAUAGCUCACUGGUCGAGUCGGCCUGCGCGGAAGAUGUAACGGGGCUAAACCAUGCACCGAAGCUGCGGCAGCGACGCUGAUGCGUUGUUGGGUAGGGGAGCGUUCUGUAAGCCUGUGAAGGUGGCCUGUGAGGGUUGCUGGAGGUAUCAGAAGUGCGAAUGCUGACAUAAGUAACGAUAAAGCGGGUGAAAAGCCCGCUCGCCGGAAGACCAAGGGUUCCUGUCCAACGUUAAUCGGGGCAGGGUGAGUCGACCCCUAAGGCGAGGCCGAAAGGCGUAGUCGAUGGGAAACGGGUUAAUAUUCCCGUACUUGGUGUUACUGCGAAGGGGGGACGGAGAAGGCUAUGUUGGCCGGGCGACGGUUGUCCCGGUUUAAGCGUGUAGGUGUGUGUUCCAGGUAAAUCCGGUUCACUUUAACACUGAGGCGUGAUGACGAGGCACUACGGUGCUGAAGCAACAAAUGCCCUGCUUCCAGGAAAAGCCUCUAAGCAUCAGGUAACAUCAAAUCGUACCCCAAACCGACACAGGUGGUCAGGUAGAGAAUACCAAGGCGCUUGAGAGAACUCGGGUGAAGGAACUAGGCAAAAUGGUGCCGUAACU